rnacentral:rRNA from 1 species
CGCGUAGGCGGUUUGUACAGUCAGAUGUGAAAUUCCUGGGCUUAACCUGGGGGCUGCAUUUGAUACGUAUGGACUUGAGUGAGGAAGAGGGUCGUGGAAUUCCCAGUGUAGAGGUGAAAUUCGUAGAUAUUGGGAAGAACACCGGUGGCGAAGGCGGCGACCUGGUCCUUGACUGACGCUGAGGCGCGAAAGCGUGGGGAGCAAACAGGAUUAGAUACCCUGGUAGUCCACGCUGUAAACGAUGUGUGCUGGAUGUUGGGUGACCUAGUCACUCAGUGUCGUAGCUAACGCGCUAAGCACACCGCCUGGGGAGUACGGCCGCAAGGUUGAA